rnacentral:rRNA from 1 species
CCUACGGGAGGCAGCAGUGAGGAAUAUUGGUCAAUGGCCGGAAGGCUGAACCAGCCAUGCCGCGUGAAGGUCAGUGCCCUAUGGGCGUUAAACUUCUUUUGUGCGGGAGCAAUAAUGGUCACGUGUGGCCAGACGAGAGUACCGUACGAAUAAGCAUCGGCUAACUCCGUGCCAGCAGCCGCGGUAAUACGGGGGAUGCAAGCGUUAUCCGGAUUUAUUGGGUUUAAAGGGUGCGUAGGCGGUGAGGUAAGUCAGCGGUGAAAUGCCCCCGCUCAACGGGGUGAAGUGCCAUUGAUACUGCCUGGCUGGAAUGCGGAUGCCGUGGGAGGAAUGUGUGGUGUAGCGGUGAAAUGCAUAGAUAUCACACAGAACACCGAUUGCGAAGGCAUCUCACGAAUCCGCGAUUGACGCUGAUGCACGAAAGCGUGGGUAUCAAACAGGAUUAGAUACCCCAGUAGUC